AGGGACUUAGGCUAAGCAGACCAAGGGCCUUCAAAGCCCUAAGCGAGGGUUAGACUCCCUCAGACCCUG
rnacentral:tRNA from 1 species